rnacentral:rRNA from 1 species
CCAAGGUCUUACGAUGGGUAGGGGGCCUGAGAGGGUGGUCCCCCACACUGGUACUGAGACACGGACCAGACUCCUACGGGAGGCAGCAGUGAGGAAUAUUGGUCUUAGGAGGCAACUCUGAACCAGCCAUGCCGCGUGAAGGAUGACGGCCCUAUGGGUUGUAAACUUCUUUUAUAGAGGAAGAAACUUGUCUACGUGUAGACAACUGACGGUACUCUACGAAUAAGGA